GCGUCGUUAGUUCAGAGGUAAAACAACUGCCUUCCAAGCAGUAGUCCCGGGUUCGAUUCCCGGACGACGCA
rnacentral:tRNA from 1 species